UUACAGAAAGGAGCCAAUUUUUAAUAGGAGCAGUGUUAGAGCCAUAUAUUUUUAACUGCCUGAGAUUUUGAUAACAUUUGAGAGAGAUGGUGUUACAUGGUUUUACAAUAUUAAUAUUAAAUAUUAAAGUUCUGGAUAGGAUGGCAAAUGCAAAGCAUGUAUCCUUUGAAAUCUGUUCUAAGGAGUUGAACGAAUUUCGUUGGAGCCAACAAUCCAGAUUGAUUCCUCAGAUAUGUAAAGUAAUUGAUCAACGGAAAUCAUGAAUUCAUGGAAAUCUGUCUGAAGUAAUUUAUAAAAUUUCGUCGAAAUUAUCGCACAGGAAGGAUUCAUCGUCAGAUAUGCAACGUAAGUUACUAUUCGGGUUACAUUGUUGCAAAUAAACCUUUUGAGUAUUAGCUGGAAAGCUGGAUGGCAAGCUGAUUUUAAGUAUGAGGAGGUGACUAAAAGGAAAAUUUUAAAGUUAGUCAACCAUAGGUAGAGUUGGUUAAAAUGUUCAAUGAAUGCAAUAGUCAAAUGAUAAUCUUUAGAAUCUUAAGUUUGGAAUAGCAUGGAGUUAGAUUUUUCACAAGAGCAGCCUUUAAGAUUUAAGAUUACAGUGUUUAUAGAAUUGGUGUGUACAUUGCAGAAUGCAAUGUACACACCUGACGCUCUGUAUCCAACGAGGAACUUAUUAAUGUUUAAAGCAUUACUACAAUAAGUUUGAGAAUACCUAGAGACAUAGUGCUUUUCCCAUGCUGUAUUGUAGUUUAUCAAAAGAUUAUGUAACCAUUGUAACCAAUUGCUUUGCUUUCUAAUAUGCAAAACCGCUUGUUUCAAAGAAACUGAACUUGUAGAUAGGUUUCUCUGAGCUGUAUUGACAACUAACUUGGAAAACGCAACCAAGGUUGGUCUUUUGGUCAUUUCGGCAGAGGAGUAAAGUAUUUUGAUACUCGUAAAUACUUUGUUAACCAAACACAAUAGCAUAGUCAGCGAGAUCCUGCAGCCUUUUAUGACAAUUAGGUAAUGAUUUAUUGUAAAUGCUGGUGUAGCAUGUCAUAAUCCCACGUUCAGACUUUUUCCGGUACGUAGAUAAAUAAUAAUUUUCUUUUAGUGUUCAAAAUCUUAUGGCUAGGUGUUUCAUAUCUACAUUCCAGGCUGCGUACGAAGCUGUAUAUCUUAACAAAAAUUUUCAGGCUUGCUCUAGUGCAGGUACUUCAUCUGAAAAUCUGGCCGUCUAGGUUAUAAAGAAAAUGCUUCAAUUUAUUGCCAGCGAUUGCCAUUUCUAGAUGCUUCAUGAAAGUAAGAUGCUCAGAUAAAUGAGUAUUGCUAGACCUUUUCAAAGUUAAUGCCUAAAUCAGCUAUAUCCAAGCAUAUCAUAGAAAUCACCAUGGCUACUUUGACACAGUUGUUGCUACUUUAUAUCAUGAAAACCGUCAGGACUGUUAUAGUCUGUUGCCAGGUAUUUAAACUCAUCAACCCUACUUAUGAAGUUAAUACCUGAAUCUGCUUUUCCCAGGUAUUUCAUAAAAUCUUCAAGCCAACUUCAUGAAGUUAAUGCCUGAAUCUGCUAUUCCCACGUAUAAUCUAAAAACCGCCAAGCUGAAUUCAACCUGGUGUUUCAUAAACUCUACAGGCCUACCUAAAAGUUAUGCCUGAAUCUGCUAUUGCCAGGUAUUUCGUAAAGUCUUCAGGUCUACUUCCGAUGUUAAUGCCUAAAUCUGCUGUUGCAUUUCAUAUAAAAUCUAAAGGCCUAAUUACUGAAGUUAAUAUUCUAUUGCAAUUCAUAAAAAAAUCCCUAGGCCUAAUUACGAAGUUAAUAGCUAAAUCAGCCAUUGCACUUCGUAAAAUUUUCGAUGUUAAUGCCUAAAUCUGUAGUUUCAUUUCUUAUAAAAUCUAAAGGUCUAAUUACUGGAGUUAAUAUCCUGUUGCAAUUCAUAAAAACUACAUAGGCCUAAUUACGAAGUUAAUACCUAAAUCAGCUAUUGCAUUUGAUAUAAAAUCCAAAGAGAAUUAUAUUUUGUAGUUAUGCUCAUGGUCUGGGUAUUUUGGAUAUGCAGUUCUGUAGCUUUACUUUAGCGAAUGUGCUGUACAAGUGGACAGUGUUAAACGUGUAGAGGUCUUGUUUAAGCUAAAAUUUAUUUUGAAAGCGAAAAUUGUAUGUUAAAUAUAUGUAGAAGUCUCGUCUAAGUUGAAUUUAAUUUUGGAUGCUAAAGUUGUAUGUAAAAUAUAUGUAGAAGUCUUGUUUAAGUUAAAAUUUAUUUUGGAAGCU